AUUUUCGGAAAUUCAAGGUGACGUUGCGCACGCGUCGUAUGACGCAACGUGCGUUCCUUUUUCCCCGAAGUGUCUAUCGAUCCAUGUGGUGCUUUCUUCUCGAUCCCCACUGCGCGGCUAAUAAAAAUCAGCUUGCAGGAUGUGUGUCGUUUUAAGGGGACUAAAAAUACAUACGAUUGGGGUCCGUGGAAUGCCAUCUAACUGGAUAUUUUGCUUGGACUUAGUACCGCGUUAAAUUUACUCGAACUGUUUUCAUAAAGAUUUAUAUAAUUUGAAAAGGAAGUUGUUGUGGAUCUAAUCGACGCGCUCGAUUAUUUUUAUUGUGGCAUUUUAGAGGUAAUGGGAUUUUAAAACUCUAGACGACAUAUACAAACUACCCGUGUUAUGAGCCUCCAAAGUGUGCAAGUGUUACCAAGUUUUCAACGAUUUCCUCGUGUUCCGGAGACGCAACGACCAACAGGAUGCAGCGAACGCGCGUAAUAGCAGCGUCGACUUCCCAUAGCCUCGCGCGUGGAACGAUUUCUAUAACACAACAGGGACGCGGUGAUACCAAUCGCACGCAACGUCGUCUACGCCGCCCUGAUAGGAAUCCAACGUAGCACGCUUUUACGUGCACGCAACGGACACCCCGUGAAAUUAGUCCCUCCAGAAUCGACGAUGAAAC